UACGUAGGCAGCAAGCGUUGUUCGGAAUUACUGGGCGUAAAGGGCGCGCAGGCGGCCCUUGAAGUCAGGCGUGAAAGCCCCGGGCUCAACCUGGGAGGUGCGCUUGAUACUCGAGGGCUUGAGUGCGGGAGAGGAGAGUGGAAUUCCCAGUGUAGAGGUGAAAUUCGUAGAUAUUGGGAAGAACACCGGUGGCGAAGGCGGCUCUCUGGACCGUAACUGACGCUGAGGCGCGAAGGCGUGGGGAGCGAACGGG
rnacentral:rRNA from 1 species